rnacentral:lncRNA from 1 species
GGGAAGGAAACCGGGAAAAUCCAGGAAUUCCCGAGUAAAAAGCAGGAUCCGAACAACGGUCGGGAAAAUUGCAAAACCGAUCCCGUUCCUGUUCCCGUUGCCUUGCUUCUGUUUCCGACCAGAUUUCGGAUUUUCCCGACUAAGGCUAUGCGCACCGCAUGGCAGCUAAAUACACCUGCAUAAGGGUGUGGUCCACAUGACAGUUCUGAUUAUAGAGAUCGCUAAAUUGAAAACGAUGCCGUGCAGACGCCUCUAUUCCGAUCUCCAAAUUAACCACCGCAUGCUUCUUUGUC